CAUGCAAGUCGAACGAGCGAGAGAGAGCUUGCUUUCUCGAGCGAGUGGCGAACGGGUGAGUAACGCGUGAGGAACCUGCCUCAAAGAGGGGGACAACAGUUGGAAACGACUGCUAAUACCGCAUAAGCCCACGACCCGGCAUCGGGUAGAGGGAAAAGGAGCAAUCCGCUUUGAGAUGGCCUCGCGUCCGAUUAGCUAGUUGGUGAGGUAACGGCCCACCAAGGCGACGAUCGGUAGCCGGACUGAGAGGUUGAACGGCCACAUUGGGACUGAGACACGGCCCAGACUCCUACGGGAGGCAGCAGUGGGGAAUAUUGCACAAUGGGGGAAACCCUGAUGCAGCGACGCCGCGUGGAGGAAGAAGGUCUUCGGAUUGUAAACUCCUGUUGUUGAGGAAGAUAAUGACGGUACUCAACAAGGAAGUGACGGCUAACUACGUGCCAGCAGCCGCGGUAAAACGUAGGUCACAAGCGUUGUCCGGAAUUACUGGGUGUAAAGGGAGCGCAGGCGGGAAGACAAGUUGGAAGUGAAAUCCAUGGGCUCAACCCAUGAACUGCUUUCAAAACUGUUUUUCUUGAGUAGUGCAGAGGUAGGCGGAAUUCCCGGUGUAGCGGUGGAAUGCGUAGAUAUCGGGAGGAACACCAGUGGCGAAGGCGGCCUACUGGGCACCAACUGACGCUGAGGCUCGAAAGUGUGGGUAGCAAACAGGAUUAGAUACCCUGGUAGUCCACACCGUAAACGAUGAUUACUAGGUGUUGGAGGAUUGACCCCUUCAGUGCCGCAGUUAACACAAUAAGCAAUCCACCUGGGGAGUACGACCGCA
rnacentral:rRNA from 1 species